GAACUUCUCGCGAGCUCCCACGAGAUGUGGACGACAUAAAGGAAGUCCGGACGCCCUGGGAACCUCGCUGUGGUGAAUUCCCAUAUCCUUCGUUGUGUUUCUCAGACGCAGCGUGUACUUUUAUUUUUGCUUUUAUCUUCUUUUUCUCCUGUUCUGCCCACGUUCUCUCUGUAGAGCAAGAAGGACCUGGACUACUUUGGAUUGGCGAACCAUUGCUAAAGGAACUACCAGACAACAGAGGCACUGAACAGAUACUAUUUGCCAGAAAGAUUUCACCUCUUUGAGUACUGAAGACUUUCGUUUCAUAAGAUUAAAUUUAAUGCCAGAAUUCUUUACUGGAACUGGAGGAAAAAGAGAUGCACAUCAGGAAACAGCUGAUAAUGUGAAUCUGGAGUAUGAUCCAACAAGAGCAAGGGUUUGCCUUUAACCAAGUCAGAAAGGACCCAGUCUUUGUGGUAGGAAACUCAGAGGCAGGGAAGACUCCAGGAGGUCCUUCCAGCAGAGGUCAGCAGGCCCAGCAUCCAGGAGGCCAGGGGAUCAGGAGACACCCAAGAACUCUGGGGAUCAAACUCAGGAUGUUGUGUUUGUCAGGCAGAUGCAGUGCCACUGAGCUACAUCCCCAGCCCCAAGAAUGGCUUUUCUCUAAGAAGAUGUACACUGAAGAUUUUAGGGAUAAAGGGACAUAUGAGUUAUGAUUGCAAAAUACAGUGAAUGUUUGAACUGAAAAAAUAAUUAUUACAGUAAAAAACACAUGGCCAUUAAUCUUCUCCAAAAUUCUCCCCCUUACUUCAAACACUCUGAGUCCAUCAUUCUUGACAUUUUCUGAAGCAGCUCUGGAAGUCCUCUUUUGUGACUGUCUUUAGUUGAGCUGUCCUGGCUGCCUUGAUGUGCUGAGUCAAUUCUAAAUGUGUUUACCUUUCAUGGUCAUUUUGACUUUGUGGAAGAGCCAGAAGUUCUAGAGGCCAGAUCAGGUGAAUCAGGCGGCUGAGGAAUCACUGCCAUGUUUUUAGAAGCCUGCCUUUCCACUGCAUGGUACUUGGCAGCAGCAUUCACUGUAUGUUUAAAUUGUAUCUUGUGAAGACACUCAUGAAAGGGGAUUUCCAGAACUGCUUCCAAAAGUGGCAAGAAUGGUGGGAUAAAUGAGGAGGGUUAAUGGCAAUAUGUCUUCUGCUGUAAUAAUUUUUUAAAAGUUUAAACAUUCACUGCAUAUUUUGAUCACAUCUCGUGAUAUCUUCACCUUAUAAAUGUUAAGGGAAUGAAAGACAACAAAUGGAAAAAUAGGGAAACAGUAAAUCUGGGUAAAGGAUAUGUGGGAAUUCUUUGUCCUACUUAUUUUUAUACCUUUUCUGUGCAUUUGAAAUUAUAUCAAAAAUAAGAUUAAAAAAUAAUGACAGAAUUCUUUACUUAAAAUGGUGAGAUAUUUUGUGGAGUGAUGUUUUAGUAUAGAAGGUAUUUUCCUCACUUACUUGAAUUCACUGUUAAAAAUCUGCUUCUUUGCCCACAGAAGGAAAUAAUACCUAGUAACACUACUGCAUCCUGACAUUUAAUAUUAAGCUUAAUUUGGGAACAGAACAUGGAAAAAGGAUGCAGGAUAUGUCAAGUUUCUGGCAUUUCGAGGACCAGGGAACUGCUAAUGGUGACAUCACUGCAAAUGAGUUACAGAGAUUGUCCUCAUUUCAAAGACCACAGAGUUAGA
ensembl:lncRNA